rnacentral:rRNA from 1 species
CAGUCGCCACGGUAAUGCGUAGGUGGCAAGCGUUGUCCGGAAUUAUUGGGCGUAAAGCGCGCGCAGGUGGUUUAAUAAGUCUGAUGUGAAAGCCCACGGCUCAACCGUGGAGGGUCAUUGGAAACUGUUAAACUUGAGUGCAGGAGAGAAAAGUGGAAUUCCUAGUGUAGCGGUGAAAUGCGUAGAGAUUAGGAGGAACACCAGUGGCGAAGGCGGCUUUUUGGCCUGUAACUGACACUGAGGCGCGAAAGCGUGGGUAGCAAACAGGAUUAGAUACCCGCGUAGUCCCUGUCUCUUAUAC